GUCUCUUCGUUAUUGUUAUAUGGGGAGUCUGGCCUGCCCGGUGACUAAUUGGUUUAACGGCCGCGGUACUCUGACCGUGCAAAGGUAGCAUAAUCAUUUGCCUCUUAAUUGGGGGCUGGAAUGAAUGGCUCGACGAAAAUAUAUCUGUCUCUCUCAUAUUUUAUAGAAAUUAAUUUUUAGGUGAAAAAGCCUGAAUUUAACUGAAAGACAAGAAGACCCUGUUGAGCUUGAAUAUUAUUUAGUGGGGUAGUUCGUAAUUUAUUAUAGGUUUUAUCCUUAGAUUGUUUUUGGUUGGGGUGACCGAGGAACAGAAAAAAUUUCCUUGAUUAUGAUUAGGAAUUUCAUUUUUAGAUCCGUUAUUUAGCGAUUAAUGGAAAUAGUUACCACAGGGAUAACAGCGUGAUCUUUCUUGAGAGUUCUUAUCGAAAGAAGGGGUUGCGACCUCGAUGUUGGACUAGGAUUAUCUAGGAGGUGUAGAAGCUUCUUGGGUUGGUCUGUUCGACCAUUAAAAUCCUA
rnacentral:rRNA from 1 species